AUUUUUUGUUAUUCUUUCUGCAUCUUUUAGGCAGGGGGUCCAACAUACUUUUUUCGUUGUACAUAGACACCCUUCAUCGGGCUAGUCCAUUUUUUAUAAAAUUGGUCUCUGCGCUUUCCACAACUUUGCCUAAACAGUCAAGGGCUUGUUUGUCUCUUUUUGUUUUUUUUUAGACUUAAUAAUUAAUUAAUAAAAGAAAGUAAAUAAAUUAAGUUGAUUAAAUUGGCUUUUUAAAUUGUACUCAAUUGGAGCAAUCUCACAAAAGUGAUGAGUUACAUGUGGGCUCUGCAUUCCGGACCGUUAAGAACAAGUGGGCCUUGCAAGUGCUCUCUCUUUGCAAUUCAGAGUAUUUGGGCUGCGAACAUCCUUAUUCCCAUUGAAAAUUUAUUUAGAAUAAAAAUGAAAUAAAAGUAUAGUACUGUAUUUACUCACUCAUUUAUUGUUUCAUCUGAAAAACGAAGUACAGUAUUACCAAAAAAUGGUGUAGCAAAAUUUCCACAGAAAGCAUCAUGGCUUUCAGUUAGUGUCCAAAGCAGUGCACCUUUUCUUUUUAUCUUUUCAGCCACAUGGAAAUUAUGCUCCUCUUGUGAACAAUAGUACAUAGUGUAUAGAGAGAGGCCAGAAGAGGACCACCACAGGUAAAGAUGAAGCACAGCCUAGGCUGAUGCUACAAUGCAUUAGUCUGGACACUUUUUUUGGAAUGGUGGACCCCAUUUCAAAAAAAAAAAAAAAAUUAUUUUUUUAUUUUAUUUUUAUACUAAAAGCAGUCCAGGCUGAUGCACUGUAGCAUCAGCCUGAGCUAAUGCCAAUCACCGCUCGGACCACCACAAAGCGUGCAGUACUGGAAAUGAAUGAUUUAAUUCCAUGUGUCCUCUUCCAGGUCAUGUAACACUAACCUCAGUACCUCACCACGAGUCAGGACCAAUAGUGCCUCUUUCUCUUGUCUCUUGUCUCUUUGUCUCUUGUGUAUGAUGUAUCUUUCAGCACGUACGUCGUAUAU
rnacentral:precursor_RNA from 1 species